ACCUUACCUCUUGCCGCGUUGUCUCGGCGGGAGGCGGUGGGCGUCGCGCGCCCUAGCGGGCCGUGCCGCUCCCGUCCCCGCCGGCGGCGCCAAACUCUAAAUUUACAGCGGACUGUACGUUCUGAUUUACAAAAAAAAACAAGUUAAAACUUUCAACAACGGAUCUCUUGGUUCUGGCAUCGAUGAAGAACGCAGCGAAAUGCGAUAAGUAAUGUGAAUUGCAGAAUUCAGUGAACCAUCGAAUCUUUGAACGCACAUUGCGCCCGGCAGUAAUCUGCCGGGCAUGCCUGUCCGAGCGUCAUUUCUACCCUCGAGCGAGUCCAGCAUCUAGGUGCUGGGCCUCGCCCGGCGUUGGAGCACUACGGGAAGCCCUGUGCUGUCCCCCGUAGGCCCCGAAAUGAAGUGGCGGUCCUGCCGCGGCGCCCCCUGCGUAGUAUAACAGCUCGCUUCGGGACCCGGUGGAGGCCUGCCGUCAAACCUAUAACUCU
rnacentral:rRNA from 2 species